rnacentral:rRNA from 1 species
UACGUAGGGUGCGAGCGUUAAUCGGAAUUACUGGGCGUAAAGCGUGCGUAGACGGUUUCGUAAGUCGGGUGUGAAAGCCCCGGGCUCAACCUGGGAAUUGCAUUCGAGACUGCGUAGCUAGGGUGCGGAAGAGGGAAGCGGAAUUUCCGGUGUAGCGGUGAAAUGCGUAGAUAUCGGAAGGAACAUCAGUGGCGAAAGCGGCUUCCUGGUCCAGCACCGACGUUCAGGCACGAAAGCGUGGGGAGCAAACAGG